GGUGGUCCCACCUGACCCCAUGCCGAACUCAGAAGUGAAACGCCGUAGCGCCGAUGGUAGUGUGGGGUUUCCCCAUGCGAGAGUAGGGAACUGCCAGGU
rnacentral:rRNA from 1 species